rnacentral:rRNA from 1 species
AGUGAACGCUGGCGGUAGGCCUAACACAUGCAAGUCGAACGGCAGCACAGUAAGAGCUUGCUCUUACGGGUGGCGAGUGGCGGACGGGUGAGGAAUACAUCGGAAUCUACUUUUUCGUGGGGGAUAACGUAGGGAAACUUACGCUAAUACCGCAUACGACCUACGGGUGAAAGCAGGGGAUCUUCGGACCUUGCGCGAUUGACUGAGCCGAUGUCGGAUUAGCUAGUUGGCGGGGUAAAGGCCCACCAAGGCGACGAUCCGUAGCUGGUCUGAGAGGAUGAUCAGCCACACUGGAACGGAGACACGGUCCAUACUCCUACGGGAGGCAGCAGUGGGGAAUAUUGGACAAUGGGCGCAAGCCUGAUCCAGCCAUACCGCGUGGGUGAAGAAGGCCUUCGGGUUGUAAAGCCCUUUUGUUGGGAAAGAAAAGCAGCAGGUUAAUACCCCGCUGUUCUGACGGUACCCAAAGAAUAAGUACCGGCUAACUUCGUG